rnacentral:rRNA from 1 species
GACGUAGGGGGCAAGCGUUGUCCGGAUUUAUUGGGCGUAAAGAGCGUGUAGGCGGCUUUGCUAAGUCCGUUGUGAAAACUCGAGGCUCAACCUCGAGACGCCGGUGGAAACUGCAAAGCUAGAGUCCGGAAGAGGAGAGUGGAAUUCCGUGGUGUAGCGGUGAAAUGCGCAGAUAUCAGGAAGAACACCCGUGGCGAAGGCGGCUCUCUGGGACGGUACUGACGCUGAGACGCGAAAGCGUGGGGAGCGAACAG